rnacentral:rRNA from 1 species
GAUGAACGCUGGCGGCGUGCCUAAUACAUGCAAGUCGAGCGAACAGAUGAGAAGCUUGCUUCUCUGAUGUUAGCGGCGGACGGGUGAGUAACACGUGGGUAACCUACCUAUAAGACUGGGAUAACUCCGGGAAACCGGGGCUAAUACCGGAUAAUAUUUUGAACCGCAUGGUUCGAUAGUGAAAGACGGUUUCGGCUGUCACUUAUAGAUGGACCCGCGCCGUAUUAGCUAGUUGGUAAGGUAACGGCUUACCAAGGCGACGAUACGUAGCCGACCUGAGAGGGUGAUCGGCCACACUGGAACUGAGACACGGUCCAGACUCCUACGGGAGGCAGCAGUGGGGAAUCUUCCGCAAUGGGCGAAAGCCUGACGGAGCAACGCCGCGUGAGUGAUGAAGGUCUUCGGAUCGUAAAACUCUGUUGUUAGGGAAGAACAAACUUGUUAGUAACUGAACAAGUCUUGACGGUACCUAACCAGAAAGCCACGGCUAACUACGUGCCAGCAGCCGCCGUAA